rnacentral:rRNA from 1 species
AUGCACUUUCUUCCCCGUCUUCCACUCUUCUUCCUCCUCUCUUCUUCUUCCUCCUCUCUCCCCAUCGUCGGCCGCACACCAUUUCCCCCCGCUCACUACUCGCCCGCCCGCGCUACCUUACUUGGUAGCUCCAGACGCAAAUGCACUGGCCUUCAUGAUUCCAGGACCUGGAAUCAUACCAGCCGAUGGUACCAUAUAACUGGAAUUAACCUAUGCAAGUCGAAGAAGGAUUGGCCGGUGCUGCCGGCUGACAUCAAGUUCGAUCCCACGGAUCAGGAGGUGAUCGAGCACCUUGAGGCCAAAGUGAGUGCUGACAGCGCGAGAUCUCACCCUCUCAUCGAUUUGUUCAUACCAACCAUCAACAGCGAGCACGACAUAUGCUACACCCAUCCUGAGAAACUUCCAGGUAUCACAUUGAGUGGCCUAAGCAAGCAUUUCUUCCAGCGCAAUUCCAAGGUGUUCAAAAGGGGCACGUGGACGCUUCGCAAGAUACAGUCGCAGUGCGGCAUGCACGCGAUGUGGCACAACACUGGCAAUACCUUGCCGGUGAUGGUCAACGGCCGCCAGAAGGGCAGCAAAAAGGUUCUGGUGCUGCACACCAACAAGAACUUCGACCAGCAGAGGACCAACUCGGUGAUGCACCAGUACCACCUCGGGGACCCGGAGCAUGAGAAGGAGCGGGAGCUGGUCCUCUUCAAGACUUUCUACCAGACGAACACUAGGGCCAGGAGUAAAAAGAUUAUAAGUUAG